GAUGAACGCUAGCGACAGGCUUAACACAUGCAAGUCGAGGGGCAGCGAGGGCGUAGCAAUACGCCUGUCGGCGACCGGCGCACUGGUGAGUAACACGUAUGCGACCUGCCCCCUACAGGGGUAUAACCCGUAGAAAUGCGGACUAAUCCCCCAUAGUCCUGGGUGCUGCAUGGCAUUCAGGGGAAAGGGUUUCCGGUAGGGGAUGGGCAUGCGGCGCAUUAGCUAGUUGGCGGGGCAACGGCCCACCAAGGCGACGAUGCGUAGGGGUUCUGAGAGGAAGGUCCCCCCACACUGGUACUGAGACACGGACCAGACUCCUACGGGAGGCAGCAGUGAGGAAUAUUGGUCAAUGGGCGCAGGCCUGAACCAGCCAAGUCGCGUGAGGGAGGACGGUCCUACGGAUUGUAAACCUCUUUUGUCGGGGAGUAACGUGCGGGACGCGUCCGUAUUGAGAGUACCCGAAGAAAAAGCAAUCGGCUAACUCCGUG
rnacentral:rRNA from 1 species